rnacentral:tRNA from 1 species
GGCCGUGGCUCAGCGGUAGAGCACUCGCCUAGCAUGUGUGAGGCCCUGGGUUCAAUACUCAGUACCA